AGAGAGAGACAUGCGCGCAUAUCAAUAAGCGGAGGAAAAGAAACUAACAAGGAUUCCCUUAGUAACGGCGAGUGAAGCGGGAAGAGCUCAAAUUUGAAAUCUUCAAGGUUCUACCUUGACGAAUUGUAGUUUAUAGAAGUGUUUUCUGUUAGUGGAGUGGCAAAAGUUCUUUGGAAUAGGACAUCAUAGAGGGUGAGAAUCCCGUAUUUGGUCAUUCCUCCUAGCGUUGUGAUACACUUUCAACGAGUCGGAUUGUUUGGGAAUGCAGUCCAAAAUGGGUGGUAAAUUUCAUCUAAAGCUAAAUAUUGGCGAGAGACCGAUAGCGAACAAGUACCGUGAGGGAAAGAUGAAAAGAACUUUGAAAAGAGAGUUAAACAGUACGUGAAAUUGUCAAAAGGGAAGCGUUUGACACCAGUGUUGUUUUCUCGAAAAUCAAUUAAAAAUGGCGGGAUGUUGUGUUGUAUUGACUUUAUCAGCUUUCUGCACUUUUUUCCUGUCUUUCUUAAUGCACUUUUCGUUUAACAAGUCAACAUCAAUUUCUUUUGUUGUAAAAGGGUAUGAGGAAGGUGGCUUUCUUUUCGGAGAAAGUGUUUAUAGCCUUGUACCUCUGCAAUCGGGGAGAUUGAGGUCUGCAGCGUAGAUCCUUCGGGGUUAGAUACAUUUGUGCUAAGUUAUAGCUUUUCAUAGACAACUUGUUGACUAUGUUUAGUCUUGUAGCUUACUCGCUUAUCGCUAUUUUACCUACGCUUAGGAUGUUGAUAGUCACAGCGUGUAC
rnacentral:rRNA from 1 species